GGAAGGCUUCGGGCGCAACUUGCGUUCAAAAACUCGAUGGUUCACGGGAUUCUGCAAUUCACACCAAGUAUCGCAUUUUGCUACGUUCUUCAUCGAUGCGUGAGCCGAGAUAUCCGUUGCCGAGAGUCGUUUAGUGUUACAAAAAGGCCACGUGCAACGCGCUUA
rnacentral:rRNA from 1 species